GAUGAACGCUGGCGGCGUGCCUAAUACAUGCAAGUCGAGCGAACAGACGAGGAGCUUGCUCCUCUGACGUUAGCGGCGGACGGGUGAGUAACACGUGGAUAACCUACCUAUAAGACUGGGAUAACUUCGGGAAACCGGAGCUAAUACCGGAUAAUAUAUUGAACCGCAUGGUUCAAUAGUGAAAGACGGUUUUGCUGUCACUUAUAGAUGGAUCCGCGCCGCAUUAGCUAGUUGGUAAGGUAACGGCUUACCAAGGCGACGAUGCGUAGCCGACCUGAGAGGGUGAUCGGCCACACUGGAACUGAGACACGGUCCAGACUCCUACGGGAGGCAGCAGUAGGGAAUCUUCCGCAAUGGGCGAAAGCCUGACGGAGCAACGCCGCGUGAGUGAUGAAGGUCUUCGGAUCGUAAAACUCUGUUAUUAGGGAAGAACAAAUGUGUAAGUAACUAUGCACGUCUUGACGGUACCUAAUCAGAGAGCCACGGCUAACUAC
rnacentral:rRNA from 1 species